UACGUAGGGGGCAAGCGUUGUCCGGAAUCAUUGGGCGUAAAGAGCGCGUAGGCGGUCCGGUAAGUCCGCUCUGAAAGCCCGGGGCUCAACCCCGGGAGGCGGGCGGAUACUGCCGGGCUAGAGUCCGGAAGAGGCGAGUGGAAUUCCUGGUGUAGCGGUGAAAUGCGCAGAUAUCAGGAAGAACACCCGUGGCGAAAGCGGCUCUCUGGGACGGUACUGACGCUGAGACGCGAAAGCGUGGGGAGCGAACAGG
rnacentral:rRNA from 1 species